rnacentral:rRNA from 1 species
UACGGAGGGGGCUAGCGUUGUUCGGAAUUACUGGGCGUAAAGCGCACGUAGGCGGAUAUUUAAGUCAGGGGUGAAAUCCCGGGGCUCAACCCCGGAACUGCCUUUGAUACUGGGUAUCUGGAGGUCGAGAGAGGCGAGUGGAAUUCCGAGUGUAGAGGUGAAAUUCGUAGAUAUUCGCAAGAACACCAGUGGCGAAGGCGGCUCACUGGCCCGAUACUGACGCUGAGGUGCGAAAGCGUGGGGAGCAAACAGG